rnacentral:rRNA from 1 species
UACAGAGGGGGCAAGCGUUGUUCGGAAUUACUGGGCGUAAAGGGCGCGUAGGCGGCCCGCUAAGUCGAACGUGAAAUCCCCGAGCUCAACUCGGGAACUGCGUCCGAUACUGGUGGGCUUGAAUUCGGGAGAGGGAUGCAGAAUUCCAGGUGUAGCGGUGAAAUGCGUAGAUAUCUGGAGGAAUACCGGUGGCGAAGGCGGCAUCCUGGACCGACAUUGACGCUGAUGAGCGAAAGCCAGGGGAGCAAACGGG